rnacentral:rRNA from 1 species
AUUGAACGCUGGCGGCAGGCUUAACACAUGCAAGUCGAACGAGCGGCGGACGGGUGAGUAAUGUCUGGGAAACUGCCUGAUGGAGGGGGAUAACUACUGGAAACGGUAGCUAAUACCGCAUACCAUCAGAUGUGCCCAGAUGGGAUUAGCUAGUAGGUGGGGUAAUGGCUCACCAAGGCGACGAUCCCUAGCUGGUCUGAGAGGAUGACCAGCAACAAUGGAACUGAGACACGGUCCAGACUCCUACGGGAGGCAGCAGUGGGGAAUAUUGCACAAUGGGCGCAAGCCUGAUGCAGCCAUGCCGCGGGUGUGAAGAAGGCCUUCGGGUUGUAAAGUACUUUCAGCGGGGAGGCGUUACUCGCAGAAGAAGCACCGGCUAACUCCGUGCCAGCAGCCGCGGUAAUUC